CCUAGCUCUGCAGUGAACAGUCAGAUCUGUGCUUGGGUUGUCUAAAGACUGUUUACAAAAACUGCAGCUGUGCAGUAAACAGUCAGACGUGUGGUUGGGUCGUCUAAAGACUGUUUACAAAAACUUCUCUGCAGUGAACAGUCAGAUCUGUGCUUGGGUUGUCUAAAGACUGUUUACAAAAACUGUUCCAGCCCUGCAGUGAACAGUCAGAUCUGUGGUUGGGUCGCCUGAAGACUGUUUAGAAAAACUGGUAAGCUCUGUUACUCUGUUACCAUUGUUACAUAUACUCUAACCAAUUUUGCUAAUCACAGAUUUCUCUUUCUGUCAUUGUCUUUUUCUGUGUGUCUUUGUGACGGAGCUCCAGCUCUGCAGUGAACAGUCAGAUCUGUGCUUGGUUGUCUAAAGACU